AGUGAACGCUGGCGGUAGGCCUAACACAUGCAAGUCGAACGGCAGCACAGUAAGAGCUUGCUCUUACGGGUGGCGAGUGGCGGACGGGUGAGGAAUACAUCGGAAUCUACUUUUUCGGGGGGGAUAACGUAGGGAAACUUACGCUAAUACCGCAUACGACCUACGGGUGAAAGCAGGGGAUCUUCGGACCUUGCGCGAUUGAAUGAGCCGAUGUCGGAUUAGCUAGUUGGCGGGGUAACGGCCCACCAAGGCGACGAUCCGUAGCUGGUCUGAGAGGAUGAUCAGCCACACUGGAACUGAGACACGGUCCAGACUCCUACGGGAGGCAGCAGUGGGGAAUAUUCGACAAUGGGCGCAAGCCUGAUCCAGCCAUGCCGCGUGGGUGAAGAAGGCCUUCGGGUUGUAAAGCCCUUUUGUUGGGAAAGAAAAGCAGCAGGUUAAUCCCCCGCUGUUCUGACGGUACCCAAAGAAUAAGCACCGGCUAACUUCGUG
rnacentral:rRNA from 1 species